AUGGAAACACAGAAGUUCGUCUUCAUCGCCAUCGUCCUCCCCACCUCACGAACUCAACCUUCCCAAACUCACUCCUUCACUCUCUCUUCUCUCGGUAACAUUCAUCAACACUCACAAUCUCACUCACACCAAACUUCACAUUUCUCUCAAUCCCACUCUCGUUCUCAACGAACCCCUCUCAAUCACUCUCAGCUCUCACAAUAUUUUCAAUCAACAAGCAUAAAGAGAAAGAAAAAGAGGUCCUUACAAAGUGUCACUGCGGUGGUGGUGAAGGAUGCGAAGAAGCUGGCCUCCAGCUUAGGGUUUUGACUCGGUGCCCUUCUUCCAAAAGAGUAACUCUGUAACCUCCUUUCUGAUGUGCUCAGUUUGGAUGGGCUUCUUUGGUGCUAGGUUCGAAAGUGUGAAAAUGGUGAGCUUGGUUUGAUGCAUCCUCGUUCAUGUUUGGUAGGUUAGUCCUUUGUCUCAUAUUCUGGUUCAAUGCCUUAUAAGUUUUAAUCCCACUAUUUGCACUCAAUUCCUUGCCCUCACUUGUUUCUCUUGCUGCAACAUGGACUUGGCCUAUCAUGUUCAAGCUAAGGUCUAGCCCUGGUAGCCUAUGAUGCAAGCUUGGAAACUGUUUGGCUUUGAGGUGUGCACAUUGUGAUGAAGGUGUAAUGUUGCUGCUCACUUGGUCUUGCAAUGUCAUGUUGGAUCAUUUUUCAGUUCAGCAGGACCUUGUUUGUCUUGUGGUGAGCUUUUGGACAAUUGUUGGGACUGUCUUUGUAUUGUAGGAUGACCUUUCAGCUAGGCAAUGUUGGCUGCAAUUUCGCAUUAGGUCCUGCUUGCUUACGCUCACAACAGAUUAUGACUUGGACAUUGACAACAAACUUAAGGCUUUAGUUUCAUGGUAUGUCAACAACACUUCAUGUCUUGUGCAUUGAUGGUGUUUCUUGUUGGAUAUGAUUUGGUUUUUAUGUGCAAUCACCAUUGCCUCUUGCUCCAUGAUUCCAAGAUAGCCAAGACAAUUGUACCAUUACAGCUUGGUGCACUGAGGGAUUUUGCCUAGGUUGCAAGUCUGCUAGCAUUUGGCUUAGAUUUCAAAGCAAUGUAGUAAGCAAGCCAAAGGUCAGCUGGCAGUUGAAUUGGCUAUGUUACAGUUAUGUGUCUUAGGUUUAUUAUGUAAAAUUCCAGUUCAUGUAUCAUGAUUGAUUUAAAUGAAUGGCUCCCCUGCAAGCUGUUUUGGUCUAAGUGUUUAUUGAUGAUGGCAAGGCUAGUGGAUUUGCAACAGGUAUGAGGAUCAUGAUGUCCCAAGUCCAACUUGGCCAGUACUGCAGCAGCAGGUAAGGUACUCCUUGAUGCAUAAUGGUUUUCACACUACAGCUCAUGAGAGUGGUGGUUAUGUAUGACUUGGUCUUUAUUGUCACAACUGAUGGCUUUGCUAACAAGAUGAUAGGCUAACACACUCCAAGGCCUGGCACGGUGUGCAGCUAGUAUUGGUGCAAUCCUGUAGGCUAGUAUGUGCAUAGCUUGACAAUUCAAUGAGUAGAGCUUGUUGAUGAUGAUGAUGGCAUGAUAAGCUUGAUGGUUCCAUGAUAGUUCAGGAUAGUGGUAUGGAGUUUCAAAGUUUGGACUGCUCCUAAUAUUCUAUUAUCUCAUAGAACUAUUGGCAUGAUGGUUUGGUGCAUCUCAUGGGAUAUCCGUCCUUGGUUUAAACAAUGCCUUAGCAUGUACCUUGUGGUAUUCUGAUUUUGUUUGAUGGCUUUUUCUAACAGGCCAGUUGCUGUGGACUUACAACUUCGGAUGCAUUUGUCUGUUUUGGGUGUCAUGGCUGAACCAGGGAGGAUCUUCUGUUGCUCAAGGCUUAUGCUGGCUUAAUGUUCAUGUACUAGUUCUGCAGCAGGUGCUCGUGGAUAAUAGGUUGGUUUGUGAUGCAUUGUGAAUUGGUACAAGUUUGUUCAAAUGGAAUUGCUUCAAAUCAUUUGCUCUAAGUUCAGUCAUCACGCCAUGACCUUAUGGAAUUCAAGUUUCGAUUUGGCAGCUGCAGGACCAUGAUGACAGGAUGCUAGUACAAGGUGUGUCAAGGGCCAGUUCAGCAGGGUAAAGGUUACCAACUGAUGUUCUGUUGCACCACUGAUGUUGUUUGUAGGCUCAAGUAAAGCAACCAGGUUUAUCAAUACAAAGACCUGGAUGAUAAUUCUGGUUUAACAUGGUGACGGUCAGAUUCAUUUAGGCCUGCUAUAGGAUUAUGAUGGCAGGACAUUUACCAAGAGGAGUUCAAGGCCAAAUCCAUUUGAAAUGCAAUGUGAAGCCACAUUUGGAAACGCAUCAAAGCCCAAUAGCAUAGUACCCCAAGCAUGACUUUUGGAUGGUGGAUCAAUGAAGGAAGACUAGUCUAGGUCUUAGGUGGUAAAAAAAAGUGAGUUGGCCUUGGUCAAAGUUGACCAAAAAAAGUCAAUUGUUGACCAAAGUCAACAAAUAGCAUUUCUUUGUAUUUCCUUUAUGACUUCUUUGUAAAUGGAUAUUCAAUGGACAAUUGUGGAUAGA